rnacentral:rRNA from 1 species
AGAGUUUGAUCCUGGCUCAGGACGAACGCUGUUGGCGCGCCUAACACAUGCAAGUCGAACGAGAGAUGAGGAGCUUGCUCUUCAAAUCGAGUGGCGAACGGGUGAGUAACGCGUGAGGAACCUGCCUCAAAGAGGGGGACAACAGUUGGAAACGACUGCUAAUACCGCAUAAGCCCACGGCUCGGCAUCGAGCAGAGGGAAAAGGAGCAAUCCGCUUUGAGAUGGCCUCGCGUCCGAUUAGCUAGUUGGUGAGGUAACGGCCCACCAAGGCGACGAUCGGUAGCCGGACUGAGAGGUUGAACGGCCACAUUGGGACUGAGACACGGCCCAGACUCCUACGGGAGGCAGCAGUGGGGAAUAUUGCACAAUGGGGGAAACCCUGAUGCAGCGACGCCGCGUGGAGGAAGAAGGUCUUCGGAUUGUAAACUCCUGUUGUUGAGGAAGAUAAUGACGGUACUCAACAAGGAAGUGACGGCUAACUACGUGCCAGCAGCCGCGGUAAAACGUAGGUCACAAGCGUUGUCCGGAAUUACUGGGUGUAAAGGGAGCGCAGGCGGGAGAACAAGUUGGAAGUGAAAUCCAUGGGCUCAACCCAUGAACUGCUUUCAAAACUGUUUUUCUUGAGUAGUGCAGAGGUAGGCGGAAUUCCCGGUGUAGCGGUGGAAUGCGUAGAUAUCGGGAGGAACACCAGUGGCGAAGGCGGCCUACUGGGCACCAACUGACGCUGAGGCUCGAAAGUGUGGGUAGCAAACAGGAUUAGAUACCCUGGUAGUCCACACCGUAAACGAUGAUUACUAGGUGUUGGAGGAUUGACCCCUUCAGUGCCGCAGUUAACACAAUAAGUAAUCCACCUGGGGAGUACGACCGCAAGGUUGAAACUCAAAGGAAUUGACGGGGGCCCGCACAAGCAGUGGAGUAUGUGGUUUAAUUCGACGCAACGCGAAGAACCUUACCAAGUCUUGACAUCCCUUGACGAUGCUGGAAACAGUAUUUCUCUUCGGAGCAAGGAGACAGGUGGUGCAUGGUUGUCGUCAGCUCGUGUCGUGAGAUGUUGGGUUAAGUCCCGCAACGAGGGCAACCCCUAUCUUCAGUAGCCAGCAGGUAAGGCUGGGCACUCUGGAGAGACUGCCAGGGAUAACCUGGAGGAAGGUGGGGACGACGUCAAAUCAUCAUGCCCCUUAUGAUCUGGGCGACACACGUGCUACAAUGGCGGUCACAAAGUGAGGCAAACCUGCGAGGGGGAGCAAACCACAAAAAGGCCGUCCCAGUUCGGACUGUAGUCUGCAACCCGACUACACGAAGCUGGAAUCGCUAGUAAUCGCGAAUCAGAAUGUCGCGGUGAAUACGUUCCCGGGUCUUGCACGCACCGCCCGUCA